rnacentral:tRNA from 1 species
GUCCCUGUAGCGCAAUGGAUAGCGCAUUGGACUUCUAAUCCAAAGGUCGUGUGUUCGAAUCCUACCUGGGAUA